rnacentral:rRNA from 1 species
GAUGAACGCUGGCGGCGUGCCUAACACAUGCAAGUCGAGCGAUCUCUUCGGAGAGAGCGGCGGACGGGUGAGUAACGCGUGGGUAACCUGCCCUGUACACACGGAUAACAUACCGAAAGGUAUACUAAUACGGUAUAACAUACGAAAGUCGCAGGGCAUUCGGAUCAAAGCUCCGGCGGUACAGGAUAGACCCGCGUCUGAUUAGCUAGUUGGUAAGGUACUGGCUGACCAACGCAACGAUCAGUAGCCGACCUGAGAGGGUGGCCGGCCACACUGGACCUGCGACCCGGUCCAGACUCCUACGGGAGGCAGCAGUGGGGAAUAUUGCACAAUGGGCGAAAGCCUGAUGCAGCAACGCCGCGUGAGGGAUGAAGGCCUUCGGGUCGUAAAGCUCUGUCCUCAAGGAAGAUAAUGACGGUACUUGAGGAGGAAGCCCCGGCUAACUACGUGCCAGCCGCCGCGGUAA